rnacentral:tRNA from 7 species
GGGGCUAUAGCUCAGCUGGGAGAGCGCCUGCCUUGCACGCAGGAGGUCAGCGGUUCGAUCCCGCUUGGCUCCACCA